rnacentral:rRNA from 1 species
GAUGAACGCUAGCUACAGGCUUAACACAUGCAAGUCGAGGGACCGGCGCACGGGUGAGUAACACGUAUCCAACCUGCCCUUUACUCGGGGAUAGCCUUUCGAAAGAAAGAUUAAUACCCGUUGUAAAGGCUGGGAAUGCGUUCCUUUGGGUUGUGGGUGAGGUAACGGCUCACCAAGCCUUCGAUGGUUAGGGGUUAUGAGAGGAAGGACCCCCACAUUGGAACUGAGACCAGGACCAAACUCCUACGGGAGGCAGCAGUGAGGAAUAUUGGUCAAUGGGCGUUAGCCUGAACCAGCCAAGUAGCGUGAAGGAUGAAGGGUUAUGGGUCGUAAACUUCUUUUAUAUAAGAAUAGGUAUUAGAUGAAUAAGGAUCGGCUAACUCCGUGCCAGCAGCCGCGGUAAUAC